GAAUUUAUGCGACUAAAGCGACUUUUUUUGAGUCUUAAAGUCGAUCCGAGCCCUGAAUGGUUAAUAUUUGAAGAAAAAUCAGAAACAACUUUAUGUAAUGAAUAAAGGAUUUAGACUUAUAAAUAUAUAUUAUUUGAAUGAGGGACGAUUUAAAAGUCUUUUUAAAAUUCUCUUUAUUUUUCAAUGUGUUAUUUAGAACGUUUAAUUUGUGAAUAAAUUUAAAUUUAUUCAACAGUACAUAAUAAAUCGAUUAUAACAAUAGAUACAAUUCUUUGGUACGUAUGAAAUCCUUGAGAUACUUUGUUAUUUUAUGAAUUUUGUACCAUAAAUCAAGAAACUGAAAUAUACAUAGAAAUGAAAUUUAUCGAGUGGGCACUUACAUAAUUGAUUGGUCCUCAAUGUAAUUAAUAUGUUAAACACUGAAAUUGGGAAUACAUUUUUUUAUUAUUCGAAAAUCAUUUUAAUUCUUUCAUCUUUCCAUAAGAUCAAUUUCGAACUUUUCAGAAUUCACUAUUAAUACUUUAUUUAAUUUAAGAUACUUCAAUACGACAAAAAUUUGUAAACAUUUGUAAUAAAUUAAAGGGUACUCUAAAAAAUUCCACAAAUUUUUCUUAGAGAUUAUACAUACAAUAUUAACAUUUUUAAUGUAUUUUUGUACCUUGCUCUUUCAAUUUAUCAUUUAUAUCGUCAACUUAAGUCAAUAAACGUUAGUUCGAACAAUUCAGGAGAAAAGAAUUCAAUAUAACAAAAAAUAAAUCACCGUAACUUUCCAAUUAGGUUUUUACGCGAAGGCGCAUUCAAUUUAAGUUAUUUUUUCUUGCUUCCAAUUAUUCUUUUACUGAGUAAAUAAUGACAGAAACUAUAAUUAAAAUUGAUUAUGUACUAGUGAAGUAACCUAGAGCAUAAUGUCAUUAUAAAAUCAUCUUUAUGUGAGUCUUAAGAAAAUUGUAAACUGUCCAAUAUUUUACUGACAAUUUUACUGCAAAGAAAUAAUAAAGAUGAAUGAAAUUUUGGGGUAACAAAAUUAUUUUAAUGUAAACUUUAAUACUAAAAAGACAUAGUUUUUGCAUUAAUAAAUUUCCGACUCAGUACAAUUCAAGAAUAGUUUUAUUAGUAAGAGAACAUUAAUAGAGACUCAAAUCAGAACUUCAGAAUAAAUAUAAAUGAUAUCACUAAAAGAGAAUAAAAUAUCAAUCCACAAAUGUUAGUUGAGAAGAAUAGAGAUUAACUUAAGGCCUAAGUAUGAAUAAAGGUGAAGUAAAAGAGGAUACUGAGUAUAGUGACGAGUAGUGAUGAAGUAUUUAUUCAGUGGUUCCUUAAACGUUUUUGGCACAAAUAUGGUUGUUUCAUACUUGUUUGUUCUUAACCGUAUUGUAGAAUAACUUAAAACCCAAAAGAAAUCGUUGGACAAAAAUAAUUCUUAACAUAAUUGAAUGAGUUAACAUAAUAAAGAAAUGUUUAUCAUUUAAAAAGCAAACAUUAGAAUCAGUAAGGAAUGUAAUUUUAAUGAAAUUUGUCUACAAAAAUUAUAAUACACUUCCUUAUUCGUACAUCCAUGAGAUUUCAUUGUACCCUUUAAUGUUUUACUAGAACAGGAUUUGAAUUUAAUAAUACAUUAAAUUUAUAUUUGCAUUGUUUCUAGGUAUUUUAUCUGUAGUAAAAAAAUAAAAUAUUUUCUUAUAAAAUAACAAUAUGAUUAUGCAGACUAAUUUUACAGAAAAAUAUUGAAACACUCGUGUGGAAAUAGUCUGGGUUAGAACUAAUCAUCUGUUUCUAUUCGGGAACUGGCAGAACACUCACAGCUUAAAAUUCCCGUACAGGAUCCUCAAAGGAUCCCUAAAGGUUUUUGUACAGGAUUCUAGGGAUAUCAAAAUUUUCGGAUUUGACUAGGACGUCCGUUGUUAGGGUACACCUAUAGCUAUGAACACCGGUGUCCACCCUUUCUUAUUAUGAACUCACUUAGCUUGACAGUAGUAUGGUUAGCACCCAGAUUUAAUUUCCACACGGGUGUUUAUUAUAAUUAUUUAUCCGUUUACACCAUAGGAUGAAAAAUAAAAUGAUACUUUGAAUAAAACAAUGAUUGCAAAAAAAUUUGGAAGCUAACUUUGAUUUCCCUUAUAAUUUCGAUCACAGAAAGGACCUGGACUCAUUUUUCUGAAGUAUAUCAAAUAGAACGAGGUUCAUUUUUGAUGCUAAUCAAAACAAGUAGCAUAAAUGGGGAUAAUUUUGAGCUCAGGUAUUUUCUCUGAAAAAUAUUGUAAACAGUAAUUUACUAAGGAGAUUAUAUUUAAUGUGAUCUUAAUAUUAUUUUUAAGUCAUCAAUAAUUUAAACAACUUUUAUCAGCAUUUUUCAUACGUAAACGCUUUUGAAAUAUGUGUUAAUAACAUGAAUAUUAAUUUUUAAUUUUAGGAGAUUUAUGUAUAUCUGAAUUCUCUUGGUCCCAGAAUCUAAUAGAAAUCAGAAAACAUACUUUUUUUUGAGUAGAAAGAUAAUUUUAUUAUAUUUGGAAAUUUGAAAACAUUAAUUUGAUAAAUUUGAUGUACUGGAAUCUUGGUUAUACGGAAAUUAGAUCCUGCAUGUUUUCGCUUUUUCGUCAAGGUGACCUUCUCGGAGUACCCGAUCUGUCCGUAUAGCCGAGGUUCCAGUGUACUUCUUUAAACAGUUCUAAUACAUUUAAACACAUGUUCUUGGAUAUUUAAAAUAUAUAUAUAUUUAUUUUCUUAUCUAUUAGAACUUGAAGAAAAAUAUACCUUUAUAUUAUUAGGUAUUUAUAAUUAUUAUUAUGCAAAUGCACCAUUGUGCGCUCAAAAGAUUUAUGUUUUAUUGUUUUUUUAUUUUAUAAUUAUUAUAUUGCUAUUAUUUUCGUUAACGUACGCACUGUAGUCCAGAAUUGUGAGACCAUCUACUUUUUGGAUUAAAAAAUGUUAUAUACUCCAUCAUUUAUUUCGUUAACAUUUACAUAAUAAUUUUUAAACCGAUAUACCUUGUACAAUAAGAACAUGUGAAAACGAUAGGUUAUUUGUAACUCUUGGAAUCGCAUACGUACAUAAAACAUCGUGUACUUAUUACCUUGAGUUACCUAGAGCAAGAACAUUUGCAUGUUUUUCAAUAUAUUCUUUGUUUUGGUCAUGUAUCUAUAUAUAUAAGAAUUUGACAACGUCAACUUUAAAAAUACACUUAUUUGGAAUCAUUGGUGUACUUGACUCUGUUCUACAUUCGAAAAGUUUGGAUUUUUGAUAAAAUCUUAUUUCAAUCAAAAAUCUAAUCUAUAAGUCUAGAUAAAGACGAAUUUCUCUAUCGAUACGUAAUUUAAAACUUAAUGGGCUUACAAUUUUGGACGGCAAUGUACAGGAAUUUUACUAUUAAAUUAAAUAUACAUAUAUACAUUCAUACACGGAAGGCUACAUUUUAAAACUUUUAAGAAAACUACUUAUUUCCGUAUAUUAUCAAAGUUAGUUACUUUCUUUAAGAAAAUAUGUGUAUAUAUAUAUAUUUAUUACGUUGGUCUCAUGAUUUAAGGAUAUAAGUGUUAAAGACUUCUUGAGUCAUUUAUUUUGGGAAAUUUUCGUCAGCGCUCAUUUAAAAGUUUCUUUUAGCAUCGGUGCUUUCUUUAAAUUAGAAAAACAUAGAAAAUUAGAAAGACAUAGAUAAUUAGAAAAAUAACAUUGUGAUGUUGUACAUACAUGAAUAUCCUUACAGUACACAGAUUCCAUUUCUUAUCUUUUUGCAAAAAAUUAAUAACUAAUUUUUUUUUAUUCUUAACUUUAAUGAAAGUAUAAAAAUCUUGUUAAAAUGCAUGUUGGUGGUUCUUCGCGUAGCGCAUGAUUUGUUUAUUAGUAUUAUUUAAUGUUAUUUUUUCUAACUGAAUAAAAAUGAAAAUACAAUCAUCGAAGUUAACAAAUUCGUUGUGGACCGGACGAGGUGUAGAGUUUUUUUUUCACUU